rnacentral:lncRNA from 1 species
UUCCAUAGUUUCAUACAUUGAUAGAUGUGAAUUAUUGGUUAAGUGAUUUUCCGGGCUCCUUUUUCUGCAGAGCUAUGUACGGACAACUUACAAUUUUUCUUACUGUCGAAUAGCGGAGGAAAUUGAUUCUUCUACAAAUUAAUUGACGAGUAUUGAAUGCGAAGCUUCGUUCAGUCUCACAGUGUCAUAGGUUUUCGACAAUCCGGCAACUUCUUUGUGCAAGUGCGUCAUGCUUACAUGACAAAGGAGUUGAUGUUUAAUUUUUAUAGAUCUGGCUACUACUAUAUGCAAAUAGGGAAAACGUGAAUUAAAGUUUCUUUAUUUAUCCCAGUAUUACUCUACGCAAUUAGUUAUGCUUAUAUAUAUUAUGGGAUUAUAAGUCAAGACAUCUGAAGUAUGUCCUAUUUUAUCACUGUUUUCCACUUCGCAAACAAGUUAAUCUCUUACAGUAGAAUCACAAGUUCAUGAAAUAUGGCACAUAAGUCCACAUGUAAUUAGGAAUGAUUAGUUCUUAUGGGCAGGGUGAUCAGCUAACCACAAGCUUAGUAUGUGGUAUACUGCAUAAAUAUCUAGCUUGGAACAAAGCAUGGUCAGUAGAGCGUUUUCUAACCAUGCACUAGCAGUGCCCACUCCAUGCUACUGUUAUGUACACGGACGACAAGUUUGUUUGAGAAAGAGUAUGCUUGCUGCCUUUCAUCUAAUAUCAUAUGUUUCUGUUUCCUAUGUGAAACUGAUGGUUCACGUCUCUAACUUCUACUGCUUUAUAGUUUUGCACAAAAGCUUUUCUAACCAUGAUGCUGAUAUACCUAUGAUUGUUACUUCAUGUUCUACUACAUUAGUAGGGAGAUUUUUAUAAAGGUACCAGAAUUUAUCUUCUUCCACAUUAAGUCAAUAUUUAGUAAUGGAGUUCUAUUUUUGUUUGCAAACCAGUUCAUGCAAGGAAGAAAAUCUACUCUGGAUAGUUGAUUUAGUGUUUCUUGAACAUGGCCAGGGCAAUGGAUAAAAUCUACUCUGGAUAGUUGACAGAGGGAGUACAAGCUAAGUUGACUUUUUUCCCGCGGAUUUGCUUAUCGUGAAGAUGCUAGCAAGGAUGCAGAGGGAGCGGAUCAUUUGGAGAGAUAGGAUGCGACUGUUUGGUGUUUUUAUGCAUUUUGUUUUGCUUGUAACUGUGUUUGCACUAGCUGGGAGUAAGUGACUUCAAAAAGUGUAGGUGUUUUAAUUGAAGGCAUGAAAAGCCAUGACAAUAUGUAUACUCUUACAGGAUGUGUUCUAAUGCCGCUGGUUUAUUAUAAAUCUUGGAUUAGUAAUGAUGUGUAAUGCUGCUGGUUUAUUGCAAAUAUGUUUGUUUUAGUUGGAAUUGUAUGCAUGGAAUAUAAUUGGUGGAUUUUAUUUUUUUAA